UCAGCAAGAUGAUGAAAUCAGAAAAUCUUAGGACACCUUCUGACGCAAUCCGACAAUGGUUGUGUAUGAGAAAGAUUUUCAGUUUCUGAUGCUUGA